GUCAACGCGCCCGGCGUCGUCGCCCUAGCAACGGGAUCACGUGAGACGCUGCGGCGGCGCGGCCGGUCCUCACUCGACGAGAGAGGGUGCGCGCCGGGGCCAAGUAAAUUGUCAUGGCAACAAGCUAGCGGCGGCUGAAUCCAAGAACGUUAAUCGCAUUAUCCAAGGUACAUAGCGGCUGAAUGGUAUUCUAGCAACGACUCGACCAAUUUGCAAAUCUUGAGCUAGCAGCUGCUUCUCAGCCGAACCAAGAAGCGAGAGAAACUCCAAAGAACGCCACGAAAUCCCCUACUGUUGUCAUGGUAACGUGCCGCCGCCUGGAACCCCUCCCCUGCCAGCAGCAGAUGGCCCCAGCCUCGCCGCUUUGUGUAUGUGUGUGUGUCUGUAUCCCACACUAGGGCAGUACCUUCAGACAGAGAAAGAGGACGCAGGGGAUGGAGCCACUUGGCCGACGCAGAAAUAAAUUCAACCAGAAGAUAUUAUAAACAUGCAGCAGAUCAAUCAACAUUGAGGAAAGAACAAAUAAGUUAAUGCUUCAGGCAUUCAUCACUCCACCAGAUCAGCAGAAUAUGAAGUGAUGAACAAGCAUUUCAGUAGAAACAGAACAAAGGGAAAGAGGAAGAGAAGAGAAACAGAAGAAAUGGUGAAAUUUUUAAAAAUUGUUGAAUGAUUGAGAUGAAUUUUGUAUCACAGGAAGCAGCAUUGAAAUAAAUAAAGAAAACAUAAACAAA